rnacentral:lncRNA from 1 species
GGCAUACGAUCUGCUACCUGAAUUAGAGAAGAAGAAGACGCCAAAAGAACCGAUCUGCAGAGAAGCAGAUCAAAGAGAACAGAUUGAAAACAAAAAAAAAAUUAAAAUCUACUGCUGUUUGUGCGUUGUUUCCCUUGUUGCAGGUGGCGGUGACCUCCACCGCCGGCGUGGGAAGACGGAGGAGAAGAAGACAUCCCGGACCCCUUUUCUUUUUUUGGUUUCUCACGGCGGCGCGUGAACCCACGCGCCGCCAGUGGCGGUGGCACGUGGGGAGACGCGCCGCCAGUGUUGUUCCGGGGUGCAGAUGGGCUUCAAUGCAAUUCUGGAGUUUUUAGGGACCAUUUUGUAAAUUUUAAAGUUUUAAUGUAAUUUUUGUUUAUUUAUUUUAAAUUUGUAAUAUGUGAAUGUAAAAGAAAAAAGAAGAAAAUAAAAGAAAAUAAAUAAUAAAAAGAGAUGUGUGCUUGUU